AUUGAACGCUGGCGGCAUGCCUUACACAUGCAAGUCGAACGGUAACAGGUCUUCGGAUGCUGACGAGCGGCGAACGGGUGAGUAAUACAUCGGAACGUGCCUAGUAGUGGGGGAUAACUACUCGAAAGAGUGGCUAAUACCGCAUGAGAUCUACGGAUGAAAGCAGGGGAUCGCAAGACCUUGUGCUACUAGAGCGGCCGAUGGCAGAUUAGGUAGUUGGUGGGAUAAAGCUUACCAAGCCGACGAUCUGUAGCUGGUCUGAGCGAACGAUCAGCCACACGGGGAAUAAGACACGGCACAGACGCCUACGGGAGUCAGCAGUGGGUAAUGUUUGACAAUGGGCGAAAGCCAGAUCCAGCAAUGCCGCGUGCAGGAUGAAGGCCUUCGGGUUGUAAACUGCUUUUGUACGGAACGAAAAGCCCCGGGUUAAUACCCUGGGGUCAUGACGGUACCGUAAGAAUAAGCACCGGCUAACUACGUGCCAGCAGCCGCGGUAA
rnacentral:rRNA from 1 species